UACGUAGGGGGCUAGCGUUGUCCGGAAUCAUUGGGCGUAAAGCGCGUGUAGGCGGUCCGGUAAGUCCGCUGCGAAAGUCGGGGGCUCAACCCUCGGAUGCCGGUGGAUACUGUCGGGCUUGAGUACGGAAGAGGCGAGUGGAAUUCCUGGUGUAGCGGUGAAAUGCGCAGAUAUCAGGAGGAACACCAAUUGCGAAGGCAGCUCGCUGGGACGUUACUGACGCUGAGACGCGAAAGCGUGGGGAGCAAACAGG
rnacentral:rRNA from 1 species